UCAGAAGGAGGUAACUGGCUGAAAAGAUUGCUUCUGUUUUGUUUGGGAAGUCAUUUUGGAGUUGGUAGAAGGCAAAGAAGUCAAUGCUUAGUGAAUAAAUACAGUCUGGAGCAAUUGUUGAGAGGUGCAGUUCCAGCGCUGGAUUCAAAUCCGGCUUUGUAGCCAACAACAACUGAACCGAAUAAUCAGACGUCUUCGAGUCAACACUGAUCAAGUGAAUAUGACAGGUGUACUGGGCAAGACCCUCAUUUUUGGAAUGUUUCUCAAUGUUGUUUCUAUGACGUGGGGAAAAUGUGAUAUAGUUGACCCAUGUGAUUCAGCAAUAUACAUGGAAAACCCGUUUCGUAGUGCCGACUUCGAUGAAUAUAUAUGUGAUGCUGGGUUUGUUGAAGGAUGGUAUAAAUUAAGUAUUGUAGCCGGCG